rnacentral:rRNA from 1 species
GAUGAACGCUGGCGGCGUGCCUAAUACAUGCAAGUCGAGCGAACAGAUGAGGAGCUUGCUCCUCUGACGUUAGCGGCGGACGGGUGAGUAACACGUGGAUAACCUACCUAUAAGACUGGGAUAACUUCGGGAAACCGGAGCUAAUACCGGAUAAUAUAUUGAACCGCAUGGUUCAAUAGUGAAAGACGGUUUUGCUGUCGCUUAUAGAUGGAUCCGCGCCGCAUUAGCUAGUUGGUAAGGUAACGGCUUACCAAGGCAACGAUGCGUAGCCGACCUGAGGGGGUGAUCGGCCACACUGGAACUGAGACACGGUCCAGACUCCUACGGGAGGCAGCAGUAGGGAAUCUUCCGCAAUGGGCGAAAGCCUGACGGAGCAACGCCGCGUGAGUGAUGAAGGUCUUCGGAUCGUAAAACUCUGUUAUUAGGGAAGAACAAAUGUGUAAGUAACUAUGCACGUCCUGACGGUACCUAAUCAGAAAGCCACGGCUAACUACGUG